rnacentral:lncRNA from 1 species
GGGGCCUCCCAGCUGGAAGAGGCGGUGGCGGCGGGUCGGGGUGAGAGGCUGAGGGGAUCUGGCGGUGGAGCGCUAGGAUCAGACGCCCCCGCAAUGACCAGGCUCCCCCAGCUCCCCCGUCUCCAGAGUCGUGUACAACGGCAAGAGGACCAGCAGCCCCCGCUCCCCACCCAGCAGCAGCGAGAUCUUCACCCCAGCCCACGAGGAGAACGUCCGCUUCAUUUACGAAGCCUUCAAGCCCAUCGACCUGAGUGACCUGAAGCGCCGGAGCACGCAGGAUGCCAAGAAGUCCUAGAGCGCCCAGCGCCCCUCCCCGGCCUCUGGAAGAUCAGGGUGCGAGGUGUCGGCUCCCUCCUGUCCUGUGGCCCUGCUCCUGGGAUGGGGGUGUCUUGCUCCAGCGGGCUGCAGACCGCAGCACCGGUGUGACUGACGGCUGAGGCCUCUCUCUCCUUCCCAAGUCCCCUCCUUCCUCCUUGGGGGUCUCAGGCUGCCCCCAUCAUGGGGGUCUGGGCCCUCCCCACCCUCCUGCCCUCCCCCAGCCACCUGGCUGUGUUUUUGAAGCUGCCUGGCCCCCAGGGACCCUGGCCUGCCCUCUUUCCUCUCCCCUCACCCUCCUGUCCUUGGCCACUGCAGAAUCAGGAGGGGAGCAGAAGGAGCCUCUGCUGCCCCCCAGGCUGCUGGGACUGGGCUGGUUUUGUCCUUGAAAUGGCCAGGAUACAGGACAAGGGCAGCCCCACCCCAUCCAACUUGGGACCCCCCCACAGACCCUUGCUGCUCCUGUGGCCUGGACACGCUGGGGAGCUUCUCACACCUACCCCUACUGUCCAGCCUGGCCCGUUCCCUGAAUCAGCUUCAAGAUGGCACCAGCUCUUUGGGCCUAGGAUACUGCCGGGCCCCCCAAAGGGGGUCCCCAGCAGCCAGGCCUGGCCUCCUGGUAUCUGUGGUCAUAGUGGCCCAUGGGUAGGGGCACCCAGGCUGACCCUGAGGUGCUGCUGCUGGGUCUGUCUUGGCUCUGGGGUAUGCUGGGAGGGUCACCAGGUCCCUUUUUCUUCCUGUGCCCUCUGAAAGCCAAGUGUCUGUGUGGCUGUGGAGCUCCAGGGUCUGUUAAUAAAGGCAGCGGCACUGGG